UAAAUUUUGUUUCAACACAGUUUUUAAUAUAAAGAUGGAAGAGGAAGUGAUGUAAAGAUGUCAGAUCAUUACCUAAUCUGAAUGUCCAAGAACAACUGGGGUUAGUUGAUAAAUCACACGAAAAGAUGAAAACAUGCCAGUUUAGAGAUCUGCUCCACAGUUUCAUCUAAAUUCAUCACACUAAAUUACUCCACAUAUCCCUCAGUUUAUUAAUAUUUAUAUAUACAGAGAGUCAUGGAGGCAGCAGAGUGCUGACCUGCCCUCUCUGCAGGACUUUUACACCAGACCUGCUGGAUCUUCCAGGACUCUACCAGCCCAGAAACUGUUCCGGCUGCUGAACUCAGGCAGAUGGUUCUGCAGCCUGAGAACCAAAACAUAGACCCUCAACCAUGCUCCACAAUCUGAAAUAGCCCCGCCAUCACAUCAGCCACUAUUAUCUUUCCAUCCAGGUACCUUCAGCUUCAAAACCCCAAGACAUCUUCCACCCUUCCUGUUUUCCUACAGAUUCUCCAGUGAGGAGGUCACCCUCUUCCUCCCCCACCUCACCAGGAGACACAGCAAGGACAUCAUCAUGUUAGUUUGUGAAGGGUUUCAUUCUGGUUGAAUCCUACCUUUUCAGAGUAAGAAAUGGUUUUCUUUAA